UUACCUUUUUGUUGUUUUUUUUCCAUUUAUGAAAAAUGAAAAAAGUCGCUAAAAAUGGACGAAAAGUAAAGGCUAUAGCCUUACUUUUUGGCUGUUUUUUUGCCAUUUAUGGAAAAAGUCACUAAAAAUGGACGAAAAGUAAAGGCUAUAGCCUUACCUUUUUGUUGUUUUUUUUCCAUUUAUGAAAAAUGAAAAAAGUCGCUAAAAAUGGACGAAAAGUAAAGACUAUAGCCUUACUUUUUUGCUGGUUUUUGGCCAUUGAUGAAAAAGUUGCUAAAAAUGGACGAAAAGUAAAGGCUAUAGCCUUACUUUUUUGCUGUUUUUUUUCUAAAAAGUCGCUAGAAUCCUAAAUAUUAAAAUCAUUAACUCAUUAUUUCUAUAAUUGAGAGAAAAUGCAGAUGAGCCUAAUAAUUUACAAAAUAUGCAUUCUCUAAAAGCUUCAAUUCCACAGCAAAGUAGUACUUUGUAAGCAAAGUCCUCGGGACUUGAAAAGUACUUGAAAAUAAUAGAUCCUUUGUCUGUCAUCUGUGAAAAAUUUCUAUUGCAUUAAUUUGCCCAUUUUUUCCAUUUGUCGUGCCAAAUUUCCUCAUCUGGUGUCAUAAUUAAGCUCUGAAA